rfam:Glycine soja cultivar W05 scaffold2015_42, whole genome shotgun sequence.
GUUGAUGGGAAUGUUGUUUGGCUCGAGGUAACUAUGCAUGGUCUUAAUUUUGUUCAUCUUUGAAGCUUUAAUUUAUGGGUUUCGAUCUCUUUGAUCCCUUGAAACAAAGAAAGCUUUAAAGGUUGGAUUUUGAGGCUUUCUCGGACCAGGCUUCAUUCCCGUAAAC